GACUGAAAGUACUGGUUUUCGUUCGAUCAUCGAAGUUAAGCAGCAACGAUCUUGGUUAGUACUUAGAUGGGGGACCGCUUGGGAACACCUGGUACUGUAA